GAUAUUUGCUAAAAGUUUUAUCACAAGUAAAACAAAUCUUUGAUACCUCUCUCUUCUUCUUCCACGCAGCUUACACCAAACUCUAACCUGCUAAACUUUCUCCAGCUCAGAUCUUCUCUUUCGUUCGCAACUAAGGUACAUACUGCUGGGCAUAUGCUACAUGACUAACAUGGAGGUCAUAUCAGAACACGAAAUUAUCGACUAUGACUGGACGUUUAACUUUUAGCAAGUUGUAUAACAUAAGUCUACUAUCUUAUCAUGAAGAACGACGAUGUGGACACAUAUGCAAAUUAUUUAUACAAUAACGACAACAACUAUACCCAGUAAAUCCCACAAAUAGCAAAGCUACUUAUAGGGUCUGGGGAGGGUGAGAUAUAGACAGACCUUGCCUCCAUCCCUAGGGAUAGAGAGGCUGCUUCCAGAGAGACCCCGGCUCCAAAACAAAUAACAUACAAACACACCAAGCAGGGCCGGCUCAAAAAUUUUUAAUUUUUUCUAGGCCCAAAGCGAAUAGCAAAAUUGGGGCCCUUUUUGUAAACAAAAAAAAUUGCUAUGAAUCUAUUAUUCAUAUAUCAUCUUUGUAUACGCAUAAUUAUAGAUCAUAAACCUCAAUGUUAACAAUUUCAAAGCCAAAAUUACCAAAAUAUAAUAUAUUAUCUUAGAACUUGAGGCCCUAGGAAAAUGGAGGCCUAAAGCUCUUGCUUUAUUUCACUCCCCCUUGAGCCGGCCCUGACACCAAGUCAAAUAAUAUUGAAAUAAGGAGUCACCAAUACCAAGAAAGUGAUCAGAGAGUGACACAAUAUAAUGUAAAACAUGUAUAAUAGCAUACAACAUCAUAUGGUAUAAACACAAGAAGGCAAUCACAUGUAAAGUCACUUAGAGGAUAAGAAAAAUGUACGUCCCUAAAUAUACCUAAGGCAAUCACCUGUAAAGUCCGGAAGCGAAGGAUAGCGGUUUAAAAAAGUUCCUAACGCAUGUUGACUACUAUAACAAGUAUUCAAAGGUUAUUGAGCAUUUGUCGGAAAAGAAAUGGUUCCCUAAGGAUGCUACGUGGUACCCCGUCAUAUGUAAGGAAGUUGAAAAACAAAAAAAAAAAUCUAACCUGACACAUGCUACAGUUGCAACAAUUGUUGCGUCAACCUUAGAAGGAAAACUUAACUCUGUGGUCAAGAAUUUCUUAGGCUUCUAUCAUUUACCAAUUCCAACGAUUGAUAAAUCAAAAGAUGAGGUCUUUAAGAUCUCGGAAGAUUCUUUGUUUGAGAUAACAACACUCUUUGUUAAUGGGAACGAUGUUGUUGUCGACUUUCUCACGGUAACAUCCGAUAUCAAAGACUAUUCAAACCUUCUAGAAGAAGCAUUACACAUGAUGAAAGGAUACGCAGAAGCAUGUAGUGUUAAAAGACGUGCACCCACUUACAGCAAAGAGUGGACGACUUAUGAUAAUAGGUGUAAUGAGUUUAAAAAGGCAUUGCAUGGAUUUUCAUUUAGGGAGGUAACAUACAAGAACGAGUAUAGAUGGAUGCGAACAUACCGAAUCAAGCUAAGGUAUUAUGAUAAAAUCUAGUUAUCAAAUUGCAAAAAUUAAGGGAUACUUGACCUCAUUCCAGAUAGGCUAGUCAUAGACGAACAAAGCAAUCAAUUAUAUUCCUAAAACGGUUACUAACUACUAACUAGAUAUGAUGAAAAUUAUGGGUAUAGACCCGAACGAGGUUUCUAGCGUGUUUAUUGUAAUUUGAAAUUGUAUCUAACCUUUUAUAGAAAAGCAUCAAAUUUUUGAACAAAUUGAGCCAACUUGAACUGACCCGUUUUACGCGGUGCCAACCACAUGACCAGAACCCGUUUUUCCACCCGUACAUGAUGAUUUGAUUGCUCGGAGGUUUCCGGUUAGAUAGCAAGUAAAAACAUUUUUU